rnacentral:rRNA from 1 species
AAAACGGAGGAAAAGAAACCAACAGGGAUUGCUCUAGUAACGGCGAGUGAAGCAGCAAUAGCUCAAAUUUGAAAUCUGGCGUCUUCGACGUCCGAGUUGUAAUUUGUAGAGGAUGCUUCUGAGUAACCACCGACCUAAGUUCCUUGGAACAGGACGUCAUAGAGGGUGAGAAUCCCGUAUGCGGUCGGAAAGGUGCUCUACACGUAGCUCCUUCGACGAGUCGAGUUGUUUGGGAAUGCAGCUCUAAAUGGGAGGUAAAUUUCUUCUAAAGCUAAAUAUUGGCCAGAGACCGAUAGCGCACAAGUAGAGUGAUCGAAAGAUGAAAAGCACUUUGGAAAGAGAGUUAAAAAGCACGUGAAAUUGUUAAAAGGGAAGGGAUUGCAACCAGACUUGCUCGCGGUGUUCCGCCGGUCUUCUGACCGGUCUACUCGCCGCGUUGCAGGCCAGCAUCGUCUGGUGCCGCUGGAUAAGACUUGAGGAAUGUAGCUCCCUCGGGAGUGUUAUAGCCUCUUGUGAUGCAGCGAGCGCCGGGCGAGGUCCGCGCUUCGGCUAGGAUGCUGGCGUAAUGGUCGUAAUCCGCCCGUCUG